UACAAUAUUAGAUAUGAAAAAAAACAACAAAACAGUUAUCAGUUGCCUUGAUAAAUUUAGUGGGGAUAAAUUUUGAAUAUAAAAACUCUGCGGCAAAACUUUUACACAAAACACCUCUUCAGUUUGCUAAAAGCCGCUUCGAGUUUAGUUAGUCUACAAUUGGUGGUUUAAUUAACGAAAUCAUGAAGCUUACACUUUUAUUAGUUCUUUUGGUAGCCAUUUUUGGUAUGGUCUCAUCAAGACAGUGCAUCACUGAGGGUAGAUAUUGUAAUCAGGAAGACGCGAAAUGUUGUGCAAGCAUGUAUUGUAAAGACAAUCAAUGUUUUGAAAAACCGUAAGUUAACCACCAGCUUGUUGGCUGAAGAAAUGCCUGUAAGUUUAUAAAAUAAAUAAAUAAAUAUAUAUGCAGACAACAAAGAAAAUAUAUGAUCUAACUUUAAGUCUUGAUUCAACUUUACGCUUUAUAAAAAUUGAUAUGUUCUGUACUUUUAUUUUAAUUUAUAAAUAAUACAAUAAAUUAUUUAUCAAUCUGUA